AGUAGUUUGACUCCUGCUACAGAACGAACGCUGGCGGCAGGCUUAACACAUGCAAGUCGAGCGCCCUUUCGGGGGAGCGGCAGACGGGUGAGUAACGCGUGGGAACCUACCCAUCUCUACGGACAACUCCGGGAAACUGGAGCUAAUACCGUAUACGCCCUUUUGGGGAAAGAUUUAUCGGAGAUGGAUGGGCCCGCGUCGGAUUAGCUAGUUGGUGAGGUAACGGCUCACCAAGGCGACGAUCCGUAGCUGGCCUGAGAGGAUGACCAGCCACACUGGGACUGAGACACGGCCCAGACUCCUACGGGAGGCAGCAGUGGGGAAUAUUGGACAAUGGGCGCAAGCCUGAUCCAGCCAUGCCGCGUGAGUGAUGAAGGCCUUAGGGUUGUAAAGCUCUUUCGCCGGUGAAGAUAAUGACGGUAACCGGAGAAGAAGCCCCGGCUAACUUCGUG
rnacentral:rRNA from 1 species